rnacentral:RNase_MRP_RNA from 2 species
CAAGCAAGCCAAGGACCAUAUGUUUUUUGUGUUACACUUUCAGCAUCUAAGCUUAUUAUAUUCAACACAAGGAGAAAGUCCCCGGAAAAAAAAUAUCUUCUGUCCAAUGAUUAAAGAUUAGGGCAGUGGGGUAUUUAGUAAAGCAACUUUGUUUGUUUGUUUUUCAUAAUAAAAGUAAUAUGGUCACCUAUAAUAAUGGGGCAACUUAAUGGGGCUUACUCUGGCUUGUUU